GACGAACGCUGGCGGCGUGCCUAAUACAUGCAAGUCGAACGCAGUGGGGACGGGUGAGUAACACGUGGGUAACCUCCCAUCAGAGGGGAUAACACUUGGAAACAGGUGCUAAACCGAUACUGAUGGAUGGACCCGGGGUGCAUUAGCUAGUUGGUGAGGUAACGUCUCACCAAGGCCACGAUGCAUAGCCGACCUUCGAUGGUGAUCGUCCACAUUGGGACUUAGACACGGCCCAGACUCCUUCGGGAGGCAGCCGUAGGGAAUCUUCGGCAAUUGACGAAAGUCUGACCUAGCAACGCCGCGUGAGUGAAGAAGGUUUUCGGAUCGUAAAACUCUGUUGUUAGAGCAGCGGUAUCUAACCAGAAAGGGACGGCUAACUACGUGCCAGCGGCCGCGGUAAUAC
rnacentral:rRNA from 1 species